UACAAGGUGUCUGAAAGUUUAGGUAUUGGUUUGUAAAACCAACGAUGGGAGUUGGACUCUCCUUCUUGUAA
rnacentral:tRNA from 1 species